rnacentral:tRNA from 1 species
UGGGGUGUCGCCAAGUGGUAAGGCUGUGGACUUUGACUCCACCAUCCGUAGGUUCGAAUCCUGCCACCCCAG